rnacentral:rRNA from 1 species
CCUACGGGAGGCUGCAGUGAGGAAUAUUGGUCAAUGGGCGCGAGCCUGAACCAGCCAAGUCGCGUGAAGGAAGACUGCCCUACGGGUUGUAAACUUCUUUUGCAAGGGAAUAAAGUGUGGCACGUGUACCUUUUUGUAUGUACUUUAUGAAUAAGGAUCGGCUAACUCCGUGCCAGCAGCCGCGGUAAUACGGAGGAUCCGAGCGUUGUCCGGAUUUAUUGGGUUUAAAGGGAGCGGAGAGGGGUUGUUAAGUCAGAUGUGAAAGUUUGCGGCUCAACCGUAGAAGUGCAAUUGAUACUGGCAGACUUGAGUGCAGUAGAGGUAGGCGGAAUUCGUGGUGUAGCGGUGAAAUGCUUAGAUAUCACGAAGAACUCCGAUUGCGAAGGCAGCCUACUAAACUGCAACUGACAUUGAGGCUCGAAAGUGUGGGUAUCAAACAGGAUUAGAUACCCCUGUAGUC